GCGGCCCAUGGCCUGCUUGGCGGUGAGGCCACCGAUCUUGGCGGUGAGGUCGCGGCCGCCGAGGCCGAUGACGUGCGAGACGCCCGCGCCCCACC
rnacentral:tRNA from 1 species